AUGAUGAUGUCACUGACUCUGCUGCUGGCCACCCUGGGGCUCCUCGUUCAGGGUUCAUCAGGACAAAACAUCCUGACUCAGUCUGCUGCAGCUCGGCCUGUUGCUGCAGGACAGACCGUCUCCAUCACAUGUACAGCUGAUUUAGAUCUUUACAGUGAAUACUAUAAUAAAACCCUUCUCUCCUGGUACCUUCAGAAACCUGGAGAAACUCCUGAGCUCCUGAUUUAUCACGCUACAGUCCGUCACUCUGGAGUUUCAGAUCGCUUUAGUGGAAGUGGGUCUGGGACCAACUUCACUCUGACCAUCAGUGGAGUCCAGGCUGGAGAUGCAGGAGUUUAUUACUGUCAGAGUGUCCACUGGUGGAACACACUGUGGUACACGUUCGGUGCAGGAACCAGGCUGGAUGUUGGAAGUGAUGCCCCUCCCACCCUGACGGUGCUGCCCCCCUCCAGAGAGGAGCUGCAGCAGGGGAAGGCCACGCUCAUGUGCCUGGCCAACAAGGGCUUCCCCUCAGACUGGAGUCUGUCCUGGAAGGUGGACGGCAGCAGCAGCAGCAGCAGCAGCAGCAGCUGGGAGGAGAGCAGGAGCCCCGGGGUGCUGCAGAAGGACGGCCUCUACAGCUGGAGCAGCACCCUGAGGCUCCCUGCAGACCAGUGGGAGAAGGUGGGCUCUGUGACCUGUGAGGCCACCCAGGGCUCCCAGGCUCCAGUCUCACACACACUGAGGAGAGACCAGUGUUCCCAGUCCUGAGCUGACUCUGCUACUGGUUUCCCUCUGCCACUGCUCUCUCUCUGCAGGUGUCUCUGUCAUCAUCUCAUCUUUGUUUUGGAAUGUUCAUCAUUUCACUGUUUGACACAAUAAAGAUUCAUUCA